UCCCUGCGGUGCGUGCAGGGGGCCGGACGGCCCCGCCAAGUGUCCCGGAACGCGCGUCGGGGUCUGGGGGGACCUGGUCCGGGGGUCCUGGGAGGGCGGGUUCCGUGCGCAAAGGUUAGCGGGAGGUUCUCAUUCGGUUUCCUUGCCGUGAAGCCGGCCGCCAGCCUUUCUCCUGAAGAAAUGCGUAUAGAAAACCUGGUGUGUUUAAAGUGCAAAAGCCAGUUCCUGGGCUAUGUCUCCGUGCUGCUGUCCCCGGUCCCCAAAGCACAAACCCUGAGCUGCAGGUGACACCCAGGAGACACAGAGGAACCUUCUGGGGGCUUGGGACAGGAGGGACAGACUAGGGAAGCCACACUGUGCGCUCUUAUGUGGCUAUUAAGAGAGAAGAGCCACAUCAUCUGGCCUGGAGACAUGUCCUUGGGUGUUUGGGGUCAGAGGUACAAAGCAGUGUUUAUGGUGGGACUCCCAGUGUGCGUGUUUAUAUAAUCGGGUUGCCAGAUGAGAUAUAGGAUUCCCCGUGAAAUUUCAGUUUCAGGGCCACAUUUUUCUAGUAUAGCUGCGUCCCAUGCAAUUAUUUUGUAACUGUUUCUGUCCCAAGUAAUGCAUUUUUAUUUGCUGGAUCUGGCAACCCCGUGACGUAAGGGUGGGGGAAAGCGUGGAAAGAAAAGGCGGACCGUGGGUGGCAAGGGUGUGUGGCCCCAGUACCCCCACCAGUUGUGGAGCUCACCACCUUUGCAAGAUGGUGCCCUCGUGUGCUCGUAGAAAUAGCUAAAGAAGUUAGAAAGGAAUGUUUAGGUCCAUUUUUUUUUUUUUUUUUUGGUAAGGAGCGUGUGUCAUAUAUGAAGAAAAAAAAGGCAAACGGCAGAGUAAUGAGUAUAGUGAGAUAACAUAUGGGGAAUAAGAAACAAUUUAAACCCCACGUGAACUUGUCCGGGUUUGCAUGAGCGAAGGGAAAGUGUUCAGAGCAUACUGACCAGACUGCGGGUGUGGGUGUCCUAGGGUCCUGGGGCGGGGAGGGGAGGUUGUCAGCUUUCCCCUUGUGUGUGACCUUAUAUCAGCCGGUUACAACCAAAUCUCGUACUUCUGUGUUUUGAAAAACAUCCAAUAAUGAAAGCUUGUGGUCACUGCUGUUUUUGUCUUUUAAAUGAGGCCUCCGGUGUAUAAGCUCCGGAACUCCGUCCACGUGGAUUCCACGCUGGAUCCUGCCUCCCUUUCCUCGUAUAAUCCCAGGGAAGCUCCCCGUCGGCUCCGUCUAGCUUCCUUGGCUGAUCAACCAUUUAUAAAGAGCUUCCUGUUGAACCACGUUCACACGAUGGUCCGGUAGCUCCAAUGCCAACUCUUAUUAUUACUAGGAAAUAAUUUAGGAUGUAAAAACCUAGCGGCUACAAACCCCGAUCUGCUGGAGGCAAGCCACAACAGCUUGGAUCCCGCCCAGGACUUGUGCUCUCUGGGCCUCCGCUGCCCGCUCCACCACGAGAGCCGGCCCGGCGCCCUCCGCUUCGUUCACUCCCUCAGCACGCGUGCAGUGCUCGCGGCGUCCGUCCCCGGGCUCGGAGCCGGAGGCACACGCUCAGAGAUCCGGCUCAGCCUUCGAAGGCGGCCCGGUCUCCGGGAGCUCACGCGACGAAGCAGGUAUCAGGUGCUCUGAGAGACUUCACUUGGGCACGCGGAGAAGGGGCCUGGAGAAGGGCUGGCGGCCGUGUCUGCAAACAUCCGGCAGCUCUUGGGGGGUUUUAAAAACACGGUCCAGAUAGUUCACGGCCAGGUAAGGGGAGAACAGAGGCAGGGCCUGGUGUUGAUUCAGGGUCACACUGAGAACGGCGCUUGGGCUGUGCCAGGCUGCUCCCACGGUCUUCUGCGGGCGGACACGGGCUGUGCUCACACCGCAAAGGCGGGCUCACCGUUUUGCUUGUGCCCCUUGCUGCUUGCUUGGUUAAAUUUUCAGAAAGAGGAAGAGACUCCCUAUUCUCCAUCUCUGGACAGACGCCUUUCUCUGUCUUGGAGGUCGGAUCCUCAGUGCUUUGACUUGCGAGGGGUGCAGAGAAAAUGUCUCACGGACCCUGGGAUCCCACAUUUACCCUGCAGUUGUGAGUGAUGUGGUGAACUACAACAAUGGCUUUGGCUUUAACAGUCGGACAACACGAUAAACUAGAUAACCCCAAAGCUCCCGCUACGCGCAUGUAGAAAUGCCCGGUGAGACGUGGCAAACGUUUAAGCCAACAGCUGACUUUAAAAGAAGGAAACUUUAAAGGUCCACGUCCCAGGAAUGAAGGCCUGACCUUUUAAGCACAUGCACUUACGGAGGAGACGUGGGUCCCCGUGUCAUAAUAAGGGCUUGGACGAGAGAGAAGUCUUGUCCACACAAAGUUGGUGGGGAUAGGGGGCUGGAAGUAAGCUUCCCCUUUCCCUGCACGGAGCUGGGAGCCUAGAGGCUACACUUGUGGCUAAGAGAGAAGAACCAGUUCAGUGGAAGGGGAAUGUGGCAAGCCAGCUCGUCUACACUGGGCUGCGAUCUGAGCGUGGGGGAGAAACACACUCCUGAAACCUUGGAAUCAUGGGCGCACGCCAUUCGUGUACUUGGGGUUCAGACUUACAUUAGCCUCGUGGUCUGGGACCCCCAUCAUAAGAAUUAACAUAAAAAUUGGGAAGUCUGG